AGAAGGCAUUGCCUCCUGCAGCACCCUCCCCAGAAGGCUGCAGCCCGUCGUGACGGAGAACGGACGCUUCACAUCCGAGCACCUUCCAGAAAGCUGUCCCACUGCCUUGGCAAAGCCUUGCUGCGUGGGGCCUUGGUGGUAGGAUUGCUUCAUUUUCAAGGAAGUGCAGCUGGGCCGUGGUCAUUACGUGCGUUGCGGUUGUUCAGCUACAGAUGUUUGCAGGAAGAUCUCAAGGAUAAAAGGAUUGUGGAUCGUGUGCCUCUUGUGUGCUGCCAUGGAGUUCGAGGAGGGUGUCCGCUGAGCCAUGUAGACCUCGUCCCGUUUCAGCUUUCUGACCUUUGGUCCAAGUUCUGCAGAGCAAGUGUGGAACAACCCCACCUAAAUCACGGGUGUAAAUCCCCCCCGCCGAGCCCACCCAGCACAUAGCAAAUGCCAGGGGGCUUUCCUGGACUAUUCUGGUGAACGAGGUGACAGGCAGAGACACGGCUCAAGCAAAUGUGAGGGCAUUUUGGGAGAGGGGGGAGUUCUGAAUUAGAAAUGCAACUUGUAUAAAGACAGUGUUACGGUUUGGUCUCCUCCAAUGAUUGGUGUAAGCAGAAAACGGAAUUUAUUGCUUGCUUUGUGCUGAAUCAGGUCUUCUAACUUGAAUAGGAGAGGUUCCUCUUUUUACAGCAGCGAUCCAUCCAAGGGCAGUGAAUUACUGCAGUAUUCCCCACAGCCAUCUGAUGAUAAGGGUAUGUCCAAAUGGUAUAUUGAGUGCAGACAUGAAACCGCGCUGCCAGAGCUCUUGAUAUCUGGGCAGACUCCAGCUUUGAUCCUGAAAGCUGUACGGCUGCCAGGAGAGCAGAGCCGAGCCCAACUUCAUGCAUGUCCCAACGGUCACGUCUGCUGGAACAAGCUCAGCUCAUCCCGUGGUGGAGCUGAUGGGUGUACCACCAGGGCUGUCCUCUCUUGAAUGUGCCCAGACCACUACGAUUCAUGGAGAUUGUUCAGGGGAAGUCAGGGAGGUGUGGGAAAAUAAGGAAUAAAUUUGGAGAAGAAGCCACAUCUCUGGCUGCCAAUUCACAGGAUGGAAAAAA